ACGAUUCAGGUACAUACUCUGCACACUUUAUACAUACAUAUAUAUCUUAGAUUAUGCAGAAUAUUGUCUCCGACAUGAUAAAUUAAAAUGUCUCUAAUCAUGAUUAAUCUCACUCUAUGAUAUUUCCUGAAACUUGCAAUUAUUGAUAAAAUCAUUUGAAAACCCGGUGUUACUUAAGUCAUUGUGGAAUGUGAGAUGGUAGAGUAUGAGUUUCUUAUUCUUGAUAUCAUUGUUGCUUGGAGAAUUUAUUCAAAAAUUUUAGCUACCAUCCUCAGUGUUUUAUAUGCCUGAUAAACCUAAAAAUAUUAAUAUUAUAAAAGCUAUCUACUCUGUAUUGAGUUUGUUCAAAAUGAGUUAGACCCUUGUUGAGAGAUUUAUCAUACUCCUAAGAUCAAGACAUCUAUUCAGAAAGAUUCACUCUUCCAAAGUAUUAUUGCAUUAGAGGCAUGGGCUAUGCAAAAGUAUGAAUAUUUCGAGGAAAUAAAAAGGAGCAAGUGCUCGACAACCUCGCAGAAAAAAUGGACAAGUGUCCGGCAGUAGAAUUAGGGGUACCUCGGUAUCCACCUAAAAAAAGAGAAAAAAGAAAAUGAUAGCCCAUGGUCCGUCUAAUAAGAAAUAUGCCAAUAAGAGUUGACAAGUUUUUAAUUUCCAAAAUUUUUGAUCUAAGAGUAUGGCAUUCCUCUCCUCGGAUCCUGUUUUGAUCAGGCAAUAAAUGCAAAGUAAGUAUGCUUGAGAAUUUUUGCAAAUUAAAACAGCC
rnacentral:lncRNA from 1 species